rnacentral:lncRNA from 1 species
GUGUAGAGUCUCUUGUGCCCAGGGGCUCCCAUUCAAUGUGAAUUGUAUUUUAUAAUAUACCAAGAGCCCCCAAACACAGAAGUGACCUGGACCUCUCUCAGCAUCUGUAGAGGAAGCAUUUUAGAAAAGCGGAAAAUAAAAGUGAUAGGACAGAAAUACAAUGGCUGUCAAAGAAGAAAACUCUACAUUACUGUCACCUAGAAAGACAGUGGGAUAAAUGAUGUAUAUAUUCUGUGGAAUUGUUUCCCUGAAUCCUCAGAACAGACUUAUGAGGUAGGUCUCACUCAUUGUCCUUGUGAUCUUGGUUAACAUGAGCAUUCUUUCAUUGGUAAACCCAUGUCCUAUAUUGUUACACUUCAGGUGAUUAACAAAGUAACUGAGGCCUUUCAAGUGAAGGAAGAAUGCAACUUAACUUCAACAGCAAGCCGUCUAGGUUAACCUCUUCAACUUUCAACACUUGAAGAGUGUUUCCCCCAUGUGCGGUCCUCAGAAAAUAGUAGAUUCACAGAUAUGGUAGACCAGAGUUUCUGUGAGUCAUUUAAUGUACAAUCAAAAUGCAGAUUCCCGAGCCUCACCCCAGAUCUACCUGACCAGGAGCUUUGUAAAUGAGGUUUUAAAAUACACCUAAGGUGAUCUUGAUGUGCAUAUAAAUUUGAGAAACUGUCUUAGAUUGAGUCCUCAAAUCAGUCAGGAUGGGCUAGGUAUGCUGCAGUAACAUAUCUCACUCACACCAAGUCUUCUGUGGGUAUCAGUAACUCCCAGGGAGGUGUCCUCCAUGUGGUGACUCAGCGAUCCAGGCUGUCCUGAUCCUGUGCCCUUCAUUCCAACCUGAGGCUUGAAUGUUCACUGUGUCAGAAGAAGGGUACUUGUCUACAGAGGGUGUUGUGCAACAUAUUCUAUGUUCCUAGUCUUAAGAAAAAAGAAAUUGAGAAAUACUAGUGAUCACCAGUAAAGUGUAUGUUAGGUAAGCUGCGUUUGAGUCUCCAUGAGCAUACUUCACCCUUCCAAGAAACCUUAAGUUUGCUCUCUAGUUGAGUGAAAUCUUACAGCAGCAGAGGAGAAGGGUGUGUAAAUCAAUAUUUGCAUCUUCCAAGAGCACUGCAGACCUCCAGAGAGGAGAGCAGAGCAAAAGGCAGUAGUCAUAUUCCUCACUAUUUUCCUUUCUUUGUGUUUCUAUACCAAGAAAACUAACUAGAUGUACAAAUUUCAUGUAAUGUUGACAAUAAGGAUGCUAAUAUUUCUAUGAAAAUCCAAAGGAAGCCUCAUGAUGCUGCACACUUAACUGGAACCACUUCCAGUCCCUGCAGAGGUCUUAAGUAUGUUUCUCCGGUAGGUCUCAGGUUUUCAACUACCUAUUUAUUUCCUUUGCUCUUUCUCCUUAUUUCCCCUGAGUUUCUUACUCCUUGUUUUACCAUGGAAUAGGCAAAUCUAUGCAGUUUCU